rnacentral:rRNA from 1 species
AACGAACGCUGGCGGCGUGCCUUAAGCAUGCAAGUCGAACGAAGAAAUUUCCUCCGGGAAUGAUUUUAGUGGCGAACGGGUGAGUAACACGUAGUUAAUUGCCUCAAAGUUGGGGAUAGCCAUGGGAAACCAUGGGUAAUACCCGAUGUGCUCUACGGAGUAAAGUAGCAAUACGCUUUGAGAGACGACUGCGGCCCAUCAGGUAGUUGGUAAGGUAACGGCUUACCAAGCCGAUGACGGGUAGCCGGCCUGAGAGGGUGAACGGCCACAUUGGAACUGAGAUACGGUCCAGACUCCUACGGGAGGCAGCAGCUAGGAAUCUUCCACAAUGGGCGAAAGCCUGAUGGAGCGACGCCGCGUGAAGGAUGAAGGCAUUUCGGUGUUGUAAACUUCUUUUCUAUGGGAAGAUAAUGACGGUACCAUAGGAAUAAGUCCCGGCUAACUACGUGCCAGCCGCCGCGGUAAU